rnacentral:rRNA from 1 species
GGCGUGGAUAAGACAUGCAAGUCGAACGAGAUCUUUUCUUGUAGCAAUACAGGGAAAAGUCUAGAGGCGAACGGGUGCGUAACACGUGGGCAACGUACCUUCAAGUGCGGGAUAGCUCGGCGAAAGCCGGAUUAAUACCGCAUGUGAUCAGAGGCGACAUCGCUUCGAAAUUAAAGGUGGCGCAAGCUACCGCUUUUAGAGGAGCCCGCGGCCUAUCAGCUUGUUGGUGAGGUAACGGCUCACCAAGGCGUUGACGGGUAGCUGGUCUGAGAGGACGACCAGCCACAGUGGGACUGAGACACGGCCCAGACACCUACGGGUGGCAGCAGUCGAGAAUUUUUCUCAAUGGGGGAAACCUUGAAGGAGCGACGCCGCGUGGAGGAUGAAGGUCUUCGGAUUAAAGGCUCCUGUCAUUGGGAACAAUGCGUAAAUAUUAACUGUAUU